rnacentral:tRNA from 1 species
GCUGGAGUAGUAUAGGGCGAGUAUAACCGGUUUUCGUUCGGUAGGUGGUUUUUAUUAACCUUCCAGUU